AACGCGUGAGUAACCUGCCUUACACAAGGGGAUAGCCUUUGGAAACGAAGAAUAAUACCCUAUAAAACCAUAAAAGCACAUGCUAGAAUGGUCAAAGUGAUAGCGGUGUAAGAUGGACUUGCGUCUGAUUAGCUAGUUGGUGAGAUAAAAGCUCACCAAGGCAACGAUCAGUAGCCGGCUUGAGAGAGUGUACGGCCACAUUGGGACUGAGACACGGCCCAG
rnacentral:rRNA from 1 species